GUCAAGAUAGCUGCUGCUGCUGCUGCAAUGGUGGGGCUGAAGGUGACUUUGUUCCCCCCAGUAAGUUGUUUGGAUGUGAUGGUGGAAGAGUCCGUUUGUCUGGAGACUGAUACAGAAGUUUCUGUGAACAGGCUGGUGGAUGGUGUGGUGCUAUCAGCCAAUGUUGUGAGCCUUGUUCCUGUGGUGCCUGGGGUUUGUGCCCCCAGGCCAAAGGGGGAAAUGAUUAUUUUUCCAUAAUGGAUCCCCGGAUAGGUGCGCUGAGUUCCAGGGACUAGACUUCUGCAGCAGGCACAAUGAAAUGGAUUAUAGAAGUCUGAGAAGGACAAGACCUAUUGGAUCAUUGAGCCUAUUCCCCUGCAAAGAUAGAUUUACCCAAUGGACAUUGUAUUGGAUAUUAUAUUACCAGUUCUCCAAGCUACUAUCCUCUCUGCGUUCAAGUUGUUUGUAAAUUCCAUUGUAUUCAGCAAUCUGGCCUCAAGAUGAGACAAAGGGAAAGGAAAUGGUGCUACUCCAGUUGAGGAGUUGAUAUAGGCUCCAUGGCUCUCAUGCACCUGUUUUGUUGUGGAUGAAGGACCAAAGAAUCAGCAUAUAAAGUAUUGGGCAGCUGACACUUGAGCGAAAAAGCCUCAGUCCUGCAUGUAUUUCCACUGAAGUCAAUGCCUCCCCACAAUGGAACAGGAAUUUUCCCGCACAGAUCAGACUGGAAGAUCAGGGCACAGAAACAAGUGUCUGGGCUUGGGGCUGUGGCCUUCUGUACAGCAGGACAAAGGUUUUUUCAUUUAUAUGCUUAGUGCUGGUUAGUUGGUUAAUUAGUUAGUUGACUGGCUAACAGUGAUUCCACAGUCCUGCAGAGGAAGAGAGUCUGCCUGGGUUCCAGCUGGACAGUUCUGCAAGCAAAAAUGGGGAAGAUACUACUCAGCAGACUGUGUAGAGUUGAUGAACCAUGACUUUAACUGAGACUCAGUGAACUCAGCAUAAGCUUUUGGAACUUUGAGUUACUUCUCACUGUGUGUUUGUGGGGACUAAUCUGUUUAGAUUUAAUCUGUUUCUUUGGUUUAUAUGUAUGUAAAACUGUGAAGAUAAUCAGGGCCGGCUCUAACAUUUUUGCCGCCCCAAGCGAAAACAAAGAGCGCCGCCCCGCCCCGAGAGUCGCAUCACCCCACCGCCCGAGCGUCGUGUCACCCAAGUCCCCGCCCUGUGAGCUUCACGUCGCCCCGCCCCCAAACGUCAUGUCACCCCGCCCCCUCCGAGCAUCGCGUCGCGCUGCCCAAGUCCCCUGCCCCCCCCGAGCGUCACAUUGCGCCGCCCAAGUCCCCACUCCCCCGAGCGCCGUGCCGCUGAAGCCCACCCCUGCUGAGCGCCGCGCCGCCCAAGUCCCCACCCCCAGCACGGCACCAUGCCUCCCGAGCCCCGCCUCCCCCCAGCGCCGCUCGGCCGAACCAAAAAAAACAAAAACAAACCCUGAGUGC